rnacentral:lncRNA from 1 species
UGCGCGCGAUCGAACGGCUGAGGUCCAUUCUUGUGCGUAUAGACAACCAAGAUUGAAUCGCACAUGGACUGCCCAAAUUGAAUCUUGAUGAACGGCCCAGAUUCACUCCCUAUGUAAUCACGAUCGGACGGUUCAGAUCAAAAGUGAUGGACGGUCUAGAUCAAAAGCGAACGGGUAUAAAUAACCCCAUCCGCACCCAAACCCU